GAGUUUGAUCUUGGCUCAGAUUGAACGCUGGCGGCAGGCCUAACACAUGCAAGUCGAGCGGUAGAGAGAAGCUUGCUUCUCUUGAGAGCGGCGGACGGGUGAGUAAUGCCUAGGAAUCUGCCUGGUAGUGGGGGAUAACGCUCGGAAACGGACGCUAAUACUGCAUACGUCCUACGGGAGAAAGCAGGGGACCUUCGGGCCUUGCGCUAUCAGAUGAGCCUAGGUCGGAUUAGCUAGUUGGUGAGGUAAUGGCUCACCAAGGCGACGAUCCGUAACUGGUCUGAGAGGAUGAUCAGUCACACUGGAACUGAGACACGGUCCAGACUCCUACCGGGAGGCAGCAGUGGGGAAUAUUGGACAAUGGGCGAAAGCCUGAUCCAGCCAUGCCGCGUGUGUGAAGAAGGUCUUCGGAUUGUAAAGCACUUUAAGUUGGAGGAAGGCAGUAAAUUAAUACUUUGCUGUUUGACGUUACCGACUAGAAUAAGCACCGGCUAACUCUGUG
rnacentral:rRNA from 1 species